UUUUCUUCUAGUGAGUUCCUGGUUUAAGCUAAAAGUCAAAAUAUUUUCAUAUUCAGAAGCUCCAUUGAAAUUGGACUGCAAGGAUAUCUAAAGAAGCAGUUGUAGUUAUGCUGCAGGAAGAUAAUGCUAAAAUGCUGACUGGAAGCUGGCUGACGUGACGUCUAUCUACAAGAAGGGCCAGAAGGAGGAUCCAGGGAACUACAGACCUGUCAGUCUGACCUCUGUGCUGGGCAAGGUCGUGGAACAGAUCAUCUUGAAUAACAUCACACAGCACCAACAGAAGAACCAUGUGAUGAGACCCAGAACCAUGUGAUGAGACCCAGUCAACAUGAGUUUAUGAAAGGCAGGUCCUGUUUGACCAACCUGAUCUCCUUCUAUGACAUGGUGACCCCCCAAGUAGAUAAAGGAAAGGCUGUGGAUGUUGUGUACUUAGACUUCAGUAAGGCCUUUGACACUGUAUCCCACAGCAUUCUCCUGGAGAAGCUGUCAGCUCAGGGCCAGGAUGGGUGUACUGCACGAUGGAUGAAGAACUGCCUGGAUGGCUGAGUCCAAAGAGCUGUGGUGAAUGGAGCCAAAUCCAGUUGGCAGCCAGUCACAACUGGUGUUUCCCAGGACUCAGUCACAACAACCCCAGGUAGUGCUACAGGCUCAAGGAAGAGUGGCUGGAAAGCUGCCUGGCAGAGAGGGAUCUGGGGGUGUUGAUUGACAGCUGGCUGAACAUGAGCCAGCAGUGUGCCCAGGUGGCCAAAAAGGCCAACAGCAUCCUGGCUUGUAUCAGGAAUAGUGUGGCCAGCAGGACUAGAGAAGUGAUUGUGCCACUGUACUCGGUGCUGGUGAGGCUCCUCCUUGAAUCCUGUGUUCAGUUUUGGGCCCCUCAUCAUAAGAAGGACAUUGAGGUGCUGGAAAGAGUUCAGAGGGGGGCAACGAGGCUGGUGAGGGGCCUGGAGCACAGGUCUGAUGAGAAGAGGUUGAGGAAACUGGGGCUGUUUGGCCUGGAGAAAAGGAGUCUGAGGGGAGACCUUAUCGCUGUCUACAACAACCUGAAAGGAGGUUGUAGCAUGGAGGGUGUUGUUCUUUUCUCCCAAGUAACAAGUGAUAGGACAAGAGGAAAAGGCCUCAAGUUGUGUCAGCAGCAGUUUUGAUUGGAUAUUAGGAAAAAAAUCAUUAUGGAAAGGGUUGUCAGUCAUUGCCCAGGGAAGCAGUGGAGUCACCAUCCCUGGAGGUGUUUAAAAGGUGUUUAGGCAAGGUUCUUAGGGAUGUUAUUUAGUGCUAGAGUUAGGUUAUGGUUCCAUGUUUCCAUGUUUUUCUUUCCUUUUUUGACUUAAAUACAGUACACAAGUAACUGUAACAGCCUUACAGUGUGUCAUUGUUGCAUAUUAAUCUAAGGGAGCGUUGGAAAUAGGUACUCCCUCAGAAGGGAAGCAGGUUCACCUUCGACAUAAGAGAAGCUAAUUUCAAGAACAUUCAGUAGACUUCUAGUAAAUGAGGAAUCUCCUUCAGACCUACUCUGAAAGUAAGAUAUUUCUCCCAAUAUUUGAAGCAUCAUGCUGUAGAUCCAAAUUUUAAUAAGAGUUCUUUUAGCAUGCAAAGGACAUCGAGAAAACAUUUGUUUCCUCCUGCAGGUAAUCAUGCUUCACAUGCCAGUGCCCAGCCUGCGCUAAAGGUAUUGUGCAAAGAACUUGCCAAAUGCUGAUUCCAUGGAAUAUAUUAAUAGGCCAUUAAGUCUAGAUUAAUGAAAGGCUUUUUCAGAGAGAGAGGAAAACAGGCAUAACAUCAUGCUGGUGCAAUACAUUGUGUGAUUCACCAUGGGCAAAUGCUUCCCAAACAAGGGAUUAAAGAGUGGGAUUUCUGAUGCUUCUGCCAAUUAAAUGAGAGGAAAAGUAUUCUGAAUAUUGAUCUCUUGGAUGGUCCUCCAGUUGAUAACCAUGUAGAUGAAUGAGAUUAGGGAAUAAGGGAGAUACAGUCUUGCACGAUGCUUUCUCUUUGAAAAUCCAUGGUACAAUUACAGUACACUGUAACAUAUUAUAAAAUUAGUCCUGGAGCUGUUAAAGGCUUAGAACUCACAUAACACCUAACAUCUCACUUAAAUUUCUGUGAGAAAGAAAAGAGGAAACUCCCAAAAUAGGUUGCUGUCAGUAUCUCAGAUGUUUUUUUGCUUUAGUUGCUGUAAUCUUCUCCUGUCUGGCCCCACAGUUCCUCUGUUCUCUCCCUCACAUCUGUCCUAAAUGUUUCUGUUAAAGUCAUAUUCAUUUCCUCCCACACAUUAGCACUCCAUUGCUUUCCUGUCACUUGCCAUGUCAAACUCAAGCUGUUCAUCUUUACCUACAACGCCCUUAUUGUGUGCCCCCACCUAUAUAUCCAGUUUCAUUUCCUUUGACUCCCCCUCCUACAAUCCUUAUCUGGAAAUGACCUCAGUUUACAGGAUUUGUGGCCCACAAAAGAAAAGACAGAAUUGAAACUGCUUUUAAUCAAAGCCCUGGUUUCCAUAGCAAGUCAUACCUGCCUAACUGAAAGUAUGAUUUUAGGCCAAUAUAAUCAAACCAAGGUAGCUUUCUUUUGGGAUAUUCAUUUUAUCAUUGUUUAAGCUUGUGAUACAUACAUUAAUUUGCCAAGAUAAUCGAUUUCUUGUGAAUCAAACACAAGAAAGUCUUGAUUCUGGGUGUUUCCUGAUUUAUCACAUUUUGCCUACUUCCUAAGUAUUUUAUUGGUCUGGAAUAUGGAGGGAAGCUGCCUCUUCCUCUCUCUCUUGCUCAGCUCUUCUUUCUAACUUCCUAGCAUGUUUUUUUAGGUUGUUGUUUGGUUGCAUUUGUUUUUGUGAGUUUUGUUUGUUUGUUUGUUGUGGGUUUUUUUUUUGUUUGGUUUGUUGUUUUUUUGUCUCUUUGCUUAUUGCCUUUCUCAGCAUGCUAUAGAAGACACAGGGAUCUAGAGCAGCAUUAAGACAAGACUGGUAUAAAGAAGAGCUUUGCAUGGUGCACUUCGCUAACUGCAACUGGGUACAUUUUGCCCAGGGAUCUGCUCCAAUGUAGCAAUCUAACUACCCUAUAUGCUAUCAAUGCAUGAGUCUGUGGAGAGCUACACCAAAACUUUGCUGUGUCCUAAUAUGCAGUAUGUUUUCUUCUGCCCACUGUUGAUGUGCCUCUGUAUCUCAUUACUCCAGCAUAACAAUUAACUUCUAAAAUCAAUCAGAUUUUCUCAUUUCCAUAUCACUUUUCCCACAGUAAAGUCUGAUUACAUGGGGAUUAGGGUGAAUGGCCUUUUUCUUCUGUCUACACUGAAACAUAACUUUACAUCCACCUACAUGUACACAGGUAUUACUCCAGCUGCUAGUAGCUCCCUGAUCAAUUUUAUGUACCUAUUCACAUCACAUAAAUGUUUGUAUGCACGUUUUAUAUUUAAGAUCUGCUGAUUCUUUCUUCUUUUCAUCAGCAAGAAGAAAUGCUUUUGGGAAGGCUAUUCUUGUUUAGAGAACUUAGAGUCAAACAAUGGCUGAGCAAAUUUGACACAGUUUUUCUUAGAAAACUCCUGAAAAAAGUGUCAUGUGGUGGGACUAAAAGUGUCCUGACUGCUGUCAUGCUAUUGAUGUUUGCACAGGGGUAGCUAUAAGUGUACAGUUCUCUUGAAAUAAAACAGUUGGAGGGGUAAGCCAAGAACAUACUGUAUACUGCAUGUGUAUGUGCAUGUUUAUGUGAUGGUUAGGGUGGAUGUAUUUCUGAAUUGCUUGCUUUCAGACUGAAGGUGAAAACAAUUGGCCCUAUCUUUUAUUAAAGACACAGUAGAUCAAAUUCACCCACAGUGUAAAUGUGCUUUGGCUUCCUAGUUGUCUCCACCUGAGCUAGCAGUGAAUGUUUUUCCAGCAUGUUUAUUCCAGUAUCAGCAGAGAUAAAGCAAGUCAAGGAAGAAGGGGUGGGGGCUACACUAGAGGCCAAGGGCAGGGAGCUUUUCGUGCAGCCUCUCAAACACAUUGGUUGUAGUUUGGGAUUUUUCAAAGCUGCACAUGUUGAGUAAUAUCUGCCAAUAAACACAGCUCAGUGGGUGAGAAAUCUGUCUGCCUCUUGCUGAGGAUUAGAAGAGAAAAGACACCAAAUGAGCAGUUUCUUCACAUGUGGGUCAUGCCCCUCACUGGGGUACUUGCCCCUGACCUUAUCCUGUUCCACUUUGUCUCCCUCACUCUCUCCUGUCUUCCUUCCCCCUUCUACUCCUCCACUGCUGCACUACUGGUGGUCUGGUGAAUGCUGCACAGAUGUUUUCCCCAUGCUAUUAUAAGAUUAUUUUUCAAGUGGCUUCUUGGAACAGAUGUUCCAGUGUGUGUACUCUCCUUCCCUUGGCUGAAAGUGCUCUGCACAAAGAGCAGAUUGCAUUGCUGCUCUCCUUUUGAUCUAAUGAGCGAAAGCGAGAAAAAAAACCCACACAAAUGAUGCUGGUUUUCGUUUCAGGCUGCUUGGCAAUGCUGCACCUGGGUGUGUGUCUCCUGCUUCUUUUCUCCCCCAUCACUAGUGCUGCUUGCAGAUGUUUUUUUCUGUACCUUUCUUCCUCAGCCCAUUUUUUCCCUCUGUGACCCAAUACUUUACUCCCACUGCUUUUAAAUUUUCUUUCAUCUAACACUCCAGUAUUCGUGCUUCCAAAAUCAUUCUCUGACCCAUUGCCAACACCUCAUCUUCAUUUUCUCCUUCCUUUGGCAACUACUAGAAUGUUAGGAUGGAUUAGUCACAUGUGUUUGGGUACAAAGCCUGUCCCCUUUUUUUGUCUUUUCUUUUGUCUUUGUCUUUUUCUCCUUCAUUGCACCAGUGAAUUCACCUUACUAUUGUUGCUUCUACUUUUUCAUUUUAUUUAUCCUGCUGGGUCAGGAACAUUUUCAAGAGUCAGAGGUCUUGCAAUGUCAAGAGAGCAUAUUUUUCAAGUGCCACUUAAUUUAUAGAUUUAACAAAGGCAUGACACAAGGAGGCUGUGAAAUGCGUGCCAUGUUUUAGGAACCUGUAACUAGGCUUAAUCCACCAAAACUCAUCUUCUGGGAUUAAAAAAAGAAUUUUAAAAAUCUUUAAUUGAUCACAUCCAGUCUGACAAAUAGAUGGUAUGUCAGCCUCAACUUCAUGUGUUGGCCUUGCUUAAAAAUUCAGCUUACAUUAAUCCAGUCUUUAGGGAGAAAAAUAAAUAUUGCAAAUCUUUUCUGUGCCAAUAAGACAGAAUUUGGGAGUGGGUUUCCAACCUACUGUUAAUCAGCUUCAGUUGAUUCAGGAUGAUUUAUAUUGGUGGAGACUUUGGUUUGGAUAUGUAUUUAAAAAAAUCUGACCAUUAUUAUUCUUGUUUUGAUAUGGCCAGCACUGUAUGUACCCAUUAUUUCUUUUUAUAAUGUCCUUUUAUGGGGAAGUCCUGCAAAAUUUAUUGGGGAAUGAUAACCUCGCAUAAGAAUGUAUAGGAUUCUCUAACAGGAAAAUUAUUCUCUAUUGCAUUUGCAGUCUGUCCUAGGUUCCUCCAGAAAUGUUAAUAUUCUUGGUUGAUUUAUAGACUUGCAAGAGCAAUUUCUCUAGAACUCAACUGGAGUAAACUUAUUAAGUAUCAUACCUUCCCAAGGAAGAUUUAAACCACAAUUAUAACCUUGUGAACCCUCCCGUUCUCUAGCUUUCCUUGUAACAUUGUUCUGCAACAUUGUACUGCAGUGUGUAUCAACAAUAAAUAAAUAAAUAAACUAACAGGGGGAUAAAUGCUUUGGCAGCAUUUCCCAUCCACUAAGCUACUCCUGCUUGUGAGCUGAUCUUGCAAGCACAGCUGUGGUUGUGAUGUUCUGCUCUCAAACUAAGAAUACCUGUAAAUCUGACCUGUGGUUAUAAAUUCAGCUACAAUCCAAAUGAUCAGUUGCAAGUAAAUGGCUCUAUUUUCAUUCAGAUUUGUGACCAGUCUACCACACAUCUUCCUUCUCUGGAAAGUCAGAAAACUGUCCUUUCAGUACUAUUGCUGACAGGUUACUUCUUGCUAGCCUUGUGUUAUGCACUGAAGUAUCAGAAAGCCAUCUUAGUUACCUUUGUAUUGUCAGUAUCUAAAAGGGUAGUGGAAGGGACAUGGUAAAGAAGAAAACCAACUGGUAUAAUGAUGAUUGUCAACAGGCUUCUGAAAAAUGAUCAUAUGAUAUAAAGCACAUGAUAGCAGGAAACUGGAUUCUCAUGAUACAGGAAAUCCAGUCCUAUUUCCUGACUUUUCUGUGAGGUUGGUGUAGUAAGUGACAUUGUAAACAUAGUCACAUCCACUAUGAACUCAAAGUUUGAAAAAAAAUCUAUUAUUUCAGUCAAAGAAUUCAUUGAAAAUAAGCUGAAAAACAACCACAUGUUGGCUACACAGGUCAUGUCUUCUGACCCAAGGCCAGACGCAUGUGUCAUUCUGGACAAAAAAUUUUUUGCGUAGUUAAAAACUCCAUUGACAGAGAUGCCAUAAGCUUGUCAGCCUGUUCUAGUGUUCAACCAUUUCUGUUGUCCAUACAGUGUUCCAAGUUCUGAAUGACAUUUACGGCUGCUAUUAUACAGGCAUCUGCAGUAGGCUUUCUUAAAAAAUGAACAGGGUAAUAGUAGGAAUAUCUAGACUAUCUCUGUUGAGCUUAUUUAAGCCUCUGAUUUAGCUGUAACCUGUUAACUUAAACUUCGAGGUCUCGAGGUAGCAGGCAAGGUAUGCUUUGGUUUUUGGUUUUUGUUUUUAUUGUUUUGUUUUGGUUUUUGUUUGCUUUUGGUUUUAUGUUUUUUUAGGGUUUUUUGUGUGUUUUUUUUUUUUUUUUCAUUUAGAUCACAUAAUAGAGAGGAAAGCUUAAGAUGUUUUUAUUUUGUUUUUCAGCAAAUUUUUAUGUAAUUAUGUAAAAUAAAAAGUUGAAGGUUAUUUUAGCUAUUGCCUUACCUUUCAACAGGCCUAAAAAUAAAACCUGCAGAAUUAUUAUUUUUAAAGUAUAAAAAAAUUAAGUGUCACUGACAUUAAUUUCUAGCUGACAUUGUUCUCUGUGGAUAUGGUAUUUUAGCUUGACUUUCUGUUUAUCCUUCAAAAGAGUUUGGAUCACUAAAGAGGGUCUUUAGGUAGAGCCUGCUGUUUAAAAUGUACCUUUCCAGAAGAUGGAAUCACCGGUGGCUCUGAUGAAGAUGUGCCUCCACAUCAAAUAGCAUCUUUGCUACGGGGUCUGAGGAGGAGUUAAUCUUAAAACACUCGUGGCAUGAACUGAUCUGUGCUGGACAGAAAAAUGUGAAGAACCAAGAUUCCACUUGCAGUGGACCUGUGCAGAGGUAAGCAGCCAUGAACAGCAGGGAUCAAAAGCUGCAGAGCCUCUGCAGAGCUGCUUGGAAAUUUGCUCCCACUUUUAAUGAUAAUUUAGACAAAGUAAUAAUCUAACCUGUAGUGAUUGGCAGCUAUCUGGAUUUGAAUGAGUUUUCAGCUGUUUUACGCCUUUAUUCUGUGUGUUCCGUUUGUUUUUAAUACACAGAUUGUCAAAGGUUUAUAACAUGCCUCCAUAUAUCUGACUCUGGGAGUCCUUUUCAGGCUAAAUUGCAUUUAUUUGCCUCCAGAUGUGAUCACUUCAAAAUUUCCUGUGAGAGCUAGGGCAAAAGAAACAAUGAGAAGGUGGCUCUCCAAGUGCAUUCAGCUAAUAAAUGGCAGGACAGAGAAGUAGUAGCUCUUGGCUUCAAAAAUGAAUAGUAUUGAUCCCAAAUGAUAGAAAUGGAAUACUUCGAGAAAGCUUAUACAGGAGUAAAAUCCUCCAUCUUCUACCACCCUAAUAUUUGGCAAUCUGGAACAGCAACAAAGUAAAAAAGUUUAGAAAAUAGUAUUAAUCACAAGUUAGUAACUUGAACUAACUCUGUGUAUUGGUUAAGAGUUAUACUUCAUCGAAGCACUUUGAAAGAAGAUUUCAAACUUUGUCUCCUUUUGUCUGCGAAGGGAGAAGAGACGAACACCUACAGUAAAGGGAAAAGGAAGUUCUGGCAUAACUUGGUGUUUUGUACUCCAGUCCCUAAAGUGCACUGAAUAGUCUGCCAUGGGAGAUUCACAUUUGUUAAUACUUUCGAUAACUUUGCAUCAAGGCCUUUGUCACAGAUACAUCUAAAAAGAUACAGGCAUCUUGGAUCCCCAGUCCCACAAUUUACAGGCUGUGAAUGAGGUGGAGUUCCAAGGACUUAAAUUCAUCUUUCAUGGUGACAGGUUUGUGCUCUUGGACUGAGAUCUCUGUACUAUGUCUUUCUGAGGCAUUACAAAUACUUCUUUUCCUCUGAUCAGCAUUCUGACAGGUAUGAUAUUCAGAAUAUGAUGUUCCUGAAAGGUUAAAGAAGGAUAUUUGUUGUUACCAUCCACUGUAUUUUCUGUUUUGUCCUUUUCUUCUGCAAUUGCCCUUUUAGUCUGUGUGCACAAUUUAUAAAACCUACACCUUGUCAGGGUUUAGGGCUUCCAUAGGGCUAUUGCUUUAACCAAGACCUAAAAGACUAACUCACACUAGGUCUGAUUUAACAUCCCUGUCUAUCCUUUGUGUUUACAACCCUAUCUAUCCACAGCUUCCUGACCCUCCCUAGACAAUCUUUUCCUGCACUGUGGAAUGGGCUUGUUUGUUCUUACUUCACAUUGCUUAGAAGUAGGGCUGUUAAUUUUGGGUUGUAAUGGCAACUAAAUAUUAAAUAGAAACAAAUAAAGAAACCCCCACACAAACAACAAAGAAACAAACAAAUUGCAAUGAUAAACCAAUAUAAGUACUAUGGUCCAGAAAAUUUUUCCAUGCCAGCAGGGUCUGGACACUUGCUUUCCUUCAUAAAUCAUGUUGGACAUUAAUAUCCUCUCUGUUUCCCAUGUGCCUCUGGAUACCAAAUUUUUGUCACGCUCAUCUCCAGACAUUCCUCCUACCCCCAUUCUUUCCCUUACUCCUGCAUAACUCUGGACAUGCCAUUCCCUUUUCCAAGCAAGCUAAUCUGAUACCAGUUGUGAUGCUAAUCUUGCUGGAACUGUAAUGCCCCUGGAGGUCUGAGGGUGCAAUCUAAAACUACCUUGUAGGAACGAUAUGGAUAAAAACCAUCAUGAGGUGCACAGGAAAGUAUUCUGCAGCAGGGAUAAGGCGUAUCUAAUCUACAGAAUGUUCUCGUGUCAUUAGUAUCUUACAUGUUGUCCUACAUGGCCAAUUAUAAAUAGUUCUGCAGUCACCAGAUGGGAAAUGUUUUUAAUCACAAAUCUUACUCUCUCAGCUUCAUUGUCGCUUCUUCCUGGACAAACAUGUAACAACUGAUUAAUGUUAAACCAAAUGUUGUUUAUUUAACCGACAAAUGGAAAACACAUUAUUGGUUAACAGCUCUGCUUGGAAACAGUGUUUUAGAGGUGAUCAUGUAAUCAAAUGGGAGAAAACCCAAGUGGCAACAUGGAGCGCUAAGGCUGAGGUUGGUAACAACUGCAGUCAGUCAGCCAGGCAAAGCUGUCAGAACUUACAAAGAGAUGAGAACAGAGCUGUUUGAUUCCAAAGUCAGGUUUAAAGCAUUAUUCUUUUAUUGCACAAUUGAAUUUAACUCCUAGCUAACAAGUAGAAUUAGCAUUUGAAUUUGCAACGUCCAUUUGUUCAGAGUCAUCUCCCAGGGUCUUUUCCUCCUGGCUGAGAAGUCUUACAAAGUAGGCUUUUUUUGCCACUGCAGUGCAGCUGAUUUCAGAGCAGGCUUAAAUGACAUUGCAGAAGUCUUUCUUUCCAAGGGACAGCCAAAACUUCCUUGGCUCACCUGCCAGUUCUGUUCUGACUCUUGCAUGUCACACAUCUGUCUGCUCCCACCACACUGUUGGAUGACUACCGAGUUUAUGAGAAUAUUUGUGACCGCUCUUAAUUGAGAAGAAGGAUACCACUCCAGAAGUCAGCAGCAGGCAAACAUCAGCUGUCUAAAAGAUAUGAGUGCUCUCUUUUAUAAAAAUGCAUUCUAGUUUCUGGCACUUCCUAGAUGGCUGAGCUAAAGUGCUGGAGAAUGUGAGGGUGGGACAUUGUGACUCAGCUGUUUGCUCUAUAGCAUUCAUUAAUAUCUUGUAUAUUUGCCUACAAGGACAGUUAUAAAUAGUUUUGUAGUGAUCAGAUGUGAAACAGUAAGCACAAUCCUUACUCAGCACCACAGGGGAAUAAGCUUCCUAUCAUCCCUCCCCCACUUUCUUUCUCUGACACCCGUGUUGUUCCCUGAGCACUUUUACUACUGGGAUAGCAGCCCUGGCCUGGGUGCUGGUGGUGAGGGACUUCUCACCUAAUGGAAUGAGCAGGAGGGCAAAGGACCAUGAAAAAAACAAGGUACCCGGCUCUACCCCCACCUCCAUGUGCCAGCUAGAUCAAAUGUCUAUAGGUCUGACUCAGAGUCCUCUGAAGUCCAUGCAAAUAUUUGUGCUGAUUUCAGUGGCUUUGGCUCAGCACCUGUGUACACAAAUGAAAGUAAGUUUUUUUCCCAAAAAGGGACAAAGUCGUGUUUUCCUUUCAUAGAGAGAAGGGGGAAACAAAUACUAUCUUCCCUGCUCGGUACCUGGGACAAUCCAUCUAGAUAUUGUGCAUCCUGAUCAGUUGUUAGAAUUCUAGCUGAUCCCUAGAAAGUCUUCCUCAUGCAUAAUCCUCCAUUCUUGUUGCAAGACCAAGGAACAAUGCAUAAAGCUUUCUGCCUUGCAGUUUUGAAUGUUAAAGGGGUAAUUUAAGACCAGAAACACUUUAUGAAAUGUGUCCAUUCCAAGAGAAGGAAAAUGUAAUCCUUUACUACUCAUGGCAACUGUGAGUGGCAGAACACCUUAAUUCUUUAAAAGUACAUUACACUUGUGCUACCCUGCAAUUUCUGUUUGUUUAUUUGUUUUUCUUCAAAGCCUUUGUACCUGAAAGCUGAGUGGUUUAAAUGAUUUUUUUUUUUUUUCUGGGAAGAAUAUAGAUAAGGAACUCACAAGCAAACAAACACUAAGGCUACAGUCCAGGUAAGUUUACUGUUUUACAAGUUAUGAGAGUUCAUGUUCCUGAAUCUCUCUGUAUGUGUGCAUCCUCCUCUGACGUGAUGUAUGUAGAUUAUUUUCGAGUUACGUCUGUUGCAUGUUCUAGGCAUCAGUGUCAGUGCAAAAAAAGUGUAAUAAGGUCAAGCCCCAGAGACUUACAUGAUUUAAAAAACAACAACAACAACAACAACAACAACAACAACAACAACAACAACAACAACAACAACAAAUACUUUAGAGCUCAUGAUUUGUCAGUUUAAUUGAGUGCUGUUGAGGUAAUGGCCUGUGAUUAAUCCAGCUUCUUCACUUUAAUUCUGUGGUUUCAAAGUCUAUCUCAAAGGCUAAUCAAAUCCCUUGUUAUAAAAUUCUGCUUUGAAACUUGGACCAUCAAAACUUUCUUUUACAUGUUGUCAAGGUCAUAAUGAAAUAGAAAUCGAAAUUAUUAUGGCAGUAAUUCUGUGGUAGUAAAAGCUAUUUCAUGUUGUUGUUUUUUCUGCUAGAGGGAAAAGAUGGCUUUCAUUUUUCUUUCGAAAUGCAAAGGAGUCAAGUUAUUCUGUUCCUGGAGUAUGUUUCCAUUGAUCCCUUAUGACUUGUUUCUAGAAGAAGACUCUGGAUAGAACAGUUCUAAAUGAAAAACUUGUAGUUUGGAAGAAAACAUAUGGUAAUAGAGUUUUGAGAACUCCUGCAAUGUUUUCAUAAGUGACAGCAUUUUGAUGAAGGAUAACGUUCCGUGUUCUGGUCAAUAACACAACUUUUUCUGACUCUUCAUGGAAUGACAGUCUUGUCUGGGGCAGUCAUUCUAAGCGGUUACCUGCCUGGGAGAGCAAUUAGUAGGGGUUACUAGAACAAGUAGGCAAAGGUCUUUGCCUCUCCCCUUAACAAGAAGGAAUAGGAAGAUCACAACAUGCUAACGUAUCUCCCUGUGUUCCCACUCUCUGCCUCCUCUGAGCAAGAAAAUGCCUCUUUUUUGCUUCACUGCUUAACUAGUCUUUCUGAAAACAUCUGAAGUUGCUUUUCAACAGGCAUAAGAGGGAGAAAAAAUCCAAAGAGAAUUUCUUCCUAAGCUCUUGUGGCAGUGGUGAAAAAUUGCAGGAAGUGAUGAAGGUGGGCAUGUUUGUGUGCAAAUCAGAAGAAAUUAGGGAGAUGCUGGGAACAGGACUCUGCAGCAAUAACAGAUAUGGAGGUCAGAGACCUGUGGAGAGUCAAAGAACACAGAAAUUUAGUGAAGCAUGUGGGAUGGAGAACAGCAUUGCUUUGGAAGUCUGGAGCGUAGGUUAAUCAAAGACAGAAGAACAAGUGAAUUUGAGGGAUGAGAUUUUUUACCCAAGGGCCAAAACUGUGUUUAACCACAGCAGAAACACAAAGGGUAAUUGGCUAAAUUUUUAAUGAAUACUUGGAGGUAGUGAACACAUGAAGUUGUGAGAUAUGCCCUUAAUCAAAGCAGAAACUGAUGCCACAUAAUUUCUGCCAGGUUUCUGGAACAGUCAGGGUAGAAAUUGCUGGCAGAUGUCCUUGCUCUUAUGCUCUCUACAGACAACUCUUUACAAUUCCUAGACCUUUGUGAACCACCUCCAAGGCCAUCUUGGGCACUGGCUAGAAUCUCUGAUAGGAACUAAGGGUGAGGGUAGAAGUACCUGCUGAGCAGAGGAGAGGGGCCUAGACAAAGGACUGAAAGACCAUGUUGGAAUUUAUUGUUGGGGGUUUUUUAUUAUUUAUUUAUUUUGCAUGUUAAAGCACAAGUAAGGAUUAGAGUUGGAAAGGCUUGUCUUUGUUUUCUUUGUUUCUUCAAGGGCAGUUAGCUGAGGACUCAGCAAGCCUAAUUUUUUAUCUCCUUCCUAGUUCUAGAGAAUUCUCAGAUACGCCCAGAAAAACAAUUUCCCUGUAUUAAGUGCCUAGUAUAAUUUUCCCCUUUUUCAACUAGGACUCUGUAUUCCUGGUGUUGGUAAACUCUGCUGCUGCAGGCCCAAAUCUUUUGGUUGCCUCAAAGGAAAGGCUGGUUGAAACCCAGACGUAUGUUAGGGAGCUGGCAGAGAGCACAAUAGAUAGCAAUGACUCCAGGGUCUCAAAGGUAUCAUGUGGCUGGCACAUCACACAUAAGUAUUUAGAGAGAGUUCAUUUUGGCUGAUGUUGACUAGCUACCACACGUGUAGUAAAGCCACGUGGGGGAAGUAAAGAAAGCAGAGUGAAGAGGUAUAAGGGCACGUUUUCCUGCCACAAAGAGUGAUAAGCAAAGAAGCCCAUUGAUUUUGGUGCCACCUCUGUAGGACUAGGUGAAAGCAGCAGCAUGUAUUUGUGAUCUGGUAGAAGACCAGCCUAAUCACAGCAGUGUAGCCCUCAUUCCUGGACUGCACUUUUGUUAGAGGGGGAACCAAGUGUCAGGUUUUGCUUGUUGUCACAAAUUAUGAAGGAAGAGCUCAAGAAAUGUCUUUGUCUGGAUCCUGUCAAAGUAAGUUUUGUGUGUUGCCCUUAGGGCUUUCAGACAUACCUAACUUCCUCACAGAGUGUGAGCAUGAGCCUUGAUGGUCUUAUCCACUGGAGACAGUUUGUAUUUGAUUAAAGCAUCUUGAUGGUUCUGAAUUGAGUCAAACUUUUGAUAUAGGGCAGAAUCGGAGGUUUCAGAGUUGACAAGGUGCAAAUAUAUCAGAACAAAAAGACACUGUCAGUUGUGUAGCAAAGGUUUGAGACUAUCCCUAAGACUACUUAGCAGUGAAAACAUGGACUAAACUUGACUUCAUUGAUUAAACCUGCACAAAAGGCCUGCACUCUGAGAACAGAUGGACAAUACAGCCAAAUACCAUAACAAGAGCAGUGCUUGGGAACACUGUUUUAGCACUGUGGAUAUGACCAAAGAGUAAUUCACAGUGACUGCCAGAAUCCCAGCACCUUCUAAAGGAGUGACUUUAGAGAGAGGAACAGUAUAUUACUGUGACAAAACACUUUUAUGGCCUUAUCCAACUGCCUUAGCUCACAAUCUAUGCCUAUAAGAGACAAAACCAGGAGAUGUUAGAAAUAAUUUUAAAAUGUCUAGCAUAUGACAAAAAAAAAAGGCUGUAAUGAUUAUGGUAAUAAAGGUGAAAUAAAACUUUAUCAUAAACUAUUGCUUUGCAGUGGUCAUAGUAAACUACUUCCACCAAUGCAUAUAGUGACAUUAGGGGUCAUAAAAUUCAUCUAAGAAUUAAGAGACUAUCUCAAAAUGAGACUCCAACAAUGAGCCAGAUGAACCAAAUCAGAUCAAAGUCUUAAGACUGUGAAAAAAAAAAAAAAAAAGAAAUUAGAAGGGAGAACUGAGCUGAAAGGUCAGCAUUUAAAAGCAUAGAUUCCAGAAGGAGACCUGUGAUGAAAAUUGAACUCAGGAAAUGUUUCACACUUCAAGAAUGUGGAAGAACACAUCCUAAUAGGAUAGGCUUGAGUCUUUUGUAGGAGAUUAUUGUUUAGAAUUAUCUUUUCUCAUCUCCGUAAAGAUUCUGAGUUUGAGUGAAUUAUUCCUGUCAGUUAUUGGGAAUCUAAGAUUUGACAGUUCUUUGUUAAAGACAUAUUUGGGCACAGUAUUUUGCUAUAUUGCUAUCUUAGUUUCAUUUUUUAUUUGCCUGCCUGUAAUUGUGGUGUAUAAAUUUCAUAUAUAAAAUAAAAAAUCAAUGCAAAUUUUCUUAGAUGACAUGGAGCUAGUGAACAUGCAUGCUAAAUGAUGCCUUUAUGUAAGCAAAACUGUAUUUUAAAAAAACCUUGACACAAUAGUUAAAAUGAAAACAAAAAUAAUACAUCUGUAAUUGCAGUAUUUUUCAUGUUGAAAACUUAAAACAUUUUAUACAUUGGAUAGAUAGGUAGGAAAAUUACAGUCUUGAUUUCGCACUGCAAUAUCUGUCAGUGGUUUUACUUACGUGAGUAACUAUAUUUCAAUGUGUAAGUCUCUAGUUCUAAAACCACUUCAGUAUUCAACUUGGAACGCUUUUUUAGGAAGGGCAUCAACCUAAAUUAUUUGCAUAUUUGGGGUAAAAUUUCCAAAAAAGUGGUACAAAAGCUAAAGCUACUCACAUAUGUAAUAGUUUCAGUUUAACUGCUCAGAUCUUUACAGAUAUUUACAAGUCUACGAAUUCACAGAAGAGGGUUGUUAGAUUUAGAUCUUAUUUUAGAUUCUGGUCCAGUUUAUUACUUUGUCUGUCCAGAACCAAAAGCAUAUUUCAGCUCUUAGGCCCUAAUCUUUCAAAUACUUAAUGCAUGUUUAAUUUCACUAUAUCUGAAAAAGCUUUAAGGUAUGUUGAUAUUAGCAGGAUAAGGUUCUCUGGGCAAGGGUGAAAACAUGACUUUCUUAUUGAAUUCCCAUUGGCAUCAGCAGAGUCAGGAUUUGCACUUGUAUCCAUGAUAUAUGAGCUUUCAUAAACUGUGAGUAAUAUGUGUAUGCUUUUAAGUUUUCUUUUGGGACUUCCAGACCACAUUCCUAUAAUCCUGUGUUUUGAUUCAGACCUUGCUUUCUGGCAUAUUUCUGCUCUAAAACCGAGAUGCAAAAAGUUUUUAGAAAGUAAUAGCUAUCUCAUUUGUUGUCUGAAUGAUCAUAACAAUGGGUCAGUAAUCAGAGGAAGAGUACUGCAUGCUUCUUGUUGUGUAAAGCGGAUACAUCUGUGAAUAACAUUUUAGUUGGCACAUCCUUAACAGACACCCAGAUUGCUAAUAUCCACAGCUGAUUGCAAUGUUAGCUCUGAAUAAAGAAAAUGCAGACUUUCUAUGUCAAGGCAUGCUGGGAUGAUGGAACCUCUAGAAGGCUUUUAGGAGGAUUGUCACAAUUAAAUUUGUGUUUUGUCUGUAACUUCAGUAACAAAGGAGUUAUAUCUUUAACACGUCUUGAAAUGUAGAAUCAUAGAAUAAUUCAAGGUGGAAGGGGCUUCCUGCUCAAAGUAGGGCCAGCUCUGAGAUCAGACCAGAUUGCUUGCAGCUUUAUCCAGUCUGACCUUGAAAACCUUCAACUUCCCUAGGUGACCUGGUCCAUUGGUUGACUGUCCUAAUACUGACAGUUCCUGCUGAGCAGGGUUUAUGCGCUUUCUUGGGCCACUUAGGUUAAGUUAUGGUUGGACUCAAUGAUCCUGAGGGUCUCUUCCAACUGAAGUGAUUCUGUAAUUCUAUGCAGAGAGUAAGGAAAAUGGCUUUCUCAGACAAAAGUUUCAAACAUCCGGGUGAGAAGCUCCUUGGGACAGCACAAAGGAAAGAGAGGUGAGUCUCAAUCUGUUUCUAUGCCUCCUGUUUCCAAGAAUGGUGGGAACUUGGGUGUGGAGCAGCUGUAGAGUGCAAUGGAUGUGAUUAUUUUCUGUUGUGCUAUGUCUACUUUCUUCAAAAUAGUGUUUUGUGACACCAGCAGUGCCUGGAGAGUUAGUUGCAAAAUAGUGCAAUUAAACUAUCAAACAAUUAACAGGAAGGUUAGUGGCUAUUUUGUAUUAAAACUGAAAAAUUAUUCUUAUGUAGCAAAGAUAAUUGCAGCCUUAGUGGCAAAAAUCACACUACUAUAGUGAAGUUAAAUGGAAGUCUCUUGGCUUUUAAAACAGUGGAAAAAAAAGUUGACUGCCACUUUGAUGGCCAGAAGGUGCUUAACAGAUCUACUGAAUGGGAUGUACAUAGUCUUAAAAAUCUGUGAGUAAUUUAAUGGUGAGAAAUGUACUAAGGAUGUAAGACAAAACCAAUACAGAUCUUAGUUUUCUUCCAAAACAUACAUGCGGUACAAAUAAUCAUUUCAGUGCCUUGUGGAAUAAAAUUAAAAGGGUUAGAAAAAUUUGAAGGUACUGAAUGAAUUCAGGUGCCAGCUGACUGAAAUCAUGGUGUGGCCACCAUAUACAUAUAUGCAAGGAGGCGAAGUUAUUAUAACAAGCUCUUUCUUAGCCUGUGAGAGAGCCAACAAGGCCAAACCUAGAUUUUUUUAUUUUUAUUUUUAUUUUUUCCCUCCAGCCUAUGAUCUUGACAUCUUGAGUUAGAAUCUUCUCCUUGGGCAAAUAAGUUCAAGUGCUUUCACUGCAGGAUUCCACUGACACAUAAGAUGCACAAAAAUCUCUUUGACUGGAAAUAUUGAUUGAUGAUGUGCUUAUUUGGGACAGAAAUUAUUAUGUGUUAUGAAAAUCUAUGUAAUGUAUGCCAAGCAAAAAAAGCCUUAAAUUGAGUGAGAACUAAUAUCCAAUUGGGACGAGUAAGACUGGUUAUUUGGGAAACCUACUGUGAUCUGUGCAUUGUGACAAAGGAAUUUGACUGAAUGUAAGUAAGGUAACUGGACAAAUGGAAAGACUUCAAAUGAAAAAGACCACCCAGAGAUUCACAGAUUCAUUGCUGUUUCUAAGCAAACCUAUUCUCUGGUUUACCAUAAAUAUUCCACUGAGCAUAUCGCUAGAGGACAAUAGCAAAUGCUGUUACGACUGCAAGGGGAAAGACUUGGGGAACUGCCACAGAGGAGCUGAAAUCCAUUUUUCUCGGUUUAAGGAAGAGUCCAAGUUGAUCAAGUUUAUGUGGAUUAGGGACUGCCCUUCUGAAAGAAAAUAGUCAGAGGGCAUAUCAUUUCAAAACACAGAUUUAACUGCAAUAGAAUUAUAUGCAGAUUGGGAAAUCCAGCUGGAUUGGAUGGAUUUAUGAGUGGUUUCAUGAAUGUGUUUGUAAAUCACUUGAGGUAAAAACAGACCAUAUAGCACAGGAACCUAUAUGAUAGAAACUACUUUACAGAUAGCCCUUUUACCCUCAGAAAAUGUCCAUGAAAUUGAAAAAAACCCUUCAAUGUGAAAUCCUGGCUUGAAAAGGGCAUGAUUAGAAUAUCCAUGAUUAGGAGAGGAAACAUGAAGUGGUCUGUGAGGGCUCUUUUCAGAGAGAUUCUUGCAUAAGCAUAGAUUUUUGCAAAGGUGUUGAAAGUGUGAUGGAACAUGCUGAGAUCAGGAGGGUGUCACUAGGUAGUGUCAACAUGUGCCUGUGCUGACUGUUGGAGAGGUGCUAAUGGAAUUUUAAAUAAUCUUUUCUGCUCCUUAGGUUUCAUAAGGUGUAGCUUUCUUUACUUCAAGGACCUGACUACAUUAUCAGGGUUUAAGCAUUAACAUGUUUCUAAGGAACAGAAUACUGGAAAACAAGCAAGAAGUUGAAACAAUAGGAAGAUCUUGCUCAUUUCUGUCAAUUUGUUUCAUAAUUUGUAUGAAUUAUUUCAUUUUUAAUGGAAAAAGGUCUUGUUUAAAUUUAAAUUGCUGUAUGUUACAUUUCGUAAAGCAACUGUUUAUACAUCUGUAGUGAACCCCCCUUCCCUCACAUAUGGGAUUCCAGAUGAAUUUAUAACUGAUUGUGUUCAGCAGUCUAUAAAUUUCUGCUUUUUUCAGCCAACCUCUUUUGAUUAUUUGCAUGGGUUAGCAGAAAUAGUUAAGUUAUGAGAAUAUAUUCUUGAGAGUUUAACAAAUUUAUUCACAUGGAACACUACUGCAAAACAUAUCUUACGUCUCCAUGUACAAAGAUGAUGUUAUAGACUUGAGAGCAGAAAACAAAAGUUUCAGUGCCAGAAUGUAGUGGGUUUGUUGAACCAAAAGUGUUUAACCAUGGUUACCCAAAAGAACUAUACAUCAAGAAUGACGAAUAGGGCAGAAAACUUACUCCAAGAAUACACAAUAGUUACCAUGAGUGUGUCUAAUAUUUCAAGCAAAUCAAUGGAACUUCUGCUAAGGGAAUAAGUUGAUGAUCUUAACAAUGCCCUUUUUUAUAAGCACUCAUGAUGGUGAAUCCUCUCAGAAGAGAGCAUCAGGAGUAGCUGGCUUUCUGUUUCUUGAGAACAAAUGUAAACAAGCUCAUGCAGCCAUUAGAAAAGGAAAGCCACAGGAAGAAAAAGUAUGAAUUGCAGCAGUGCUUCCUCUUUCAGAGUUGGUUAGAAAGCCCCAUGUGAUUCAGAGGGCAGAGUGACCCUGUGAUGGUAAACCUUGAAGGUUCAGAAGUAAUUAUUUUUAAUAGAGAUCCAAAAUAUUGCUUCUGGGUGUGGGGAAUUCUGAGAGUUUAUCCUAUCUCUUCUUCUAUAGGUAUUAAUUUGUACUUUACUAAUUGUUUGAAUUCAUGUAUCAUAGUUGUUGGUUUUGGUUAAAAUAGUUGCUUUUCUUAUCAAAUUUUCCAAGAUUAAAAAAUACAUGGAGGGCAAGGGGGAUAUAAUUUAGAAUCAUAGAACCAUGGAAUCAUUUCAGUUGGAAAAGACCCUGAAAAUUGAGUCCAAACAUAACCUAACUCUAGCCCUAAACCAUGAACCUAAGAACCUUGCCUAAGCACCUUUUUAACACCUCCAGGGGUGGUGACUCCACCACUUCCAUGGGCAGCCUGUUCUGAUGACUGACAACCCUUUCCGUGAAGAAUUUUUUUCCUAAUAUCCAAGCUAAACCUCCCUUGGUGCAACUUGGGGCUGUUUCCUCUUGUCCUAUCACUUGUUACUUGAGAGAAGAGAUCAACAUCCUCUAUGCUACAACCUCCUUUCAGGUUGUUGUAGACAGCGAUAAGGUCUCCCCUCAGCCUCCUUUUCUCCAGGCCAAACAGCCCCAGUUUCCUCAACCUCUUCUCAUCAGACUUGUGCUCCAGGCCCCUUACCAGCCUCGUUGCCCCCCUCUGAACUCUCUCCAGCAUCUCAAUGUCCUUCUUAUGAUGAGGGGCCCAAAACUGAACACAGGAUUCAAGGAGGGGCCUCACCAGCACCGAGUACAGUGGUACAAUCACUUCUCUAGUCCUGCUGGCCACACUAUUCCUGAUACAAGCCAGGAUGCUGUUGGCCUUUUUGGCCACCUGGGCACACUGCUGGCUCAUGUUCAGCUGACUGUCAAUCAACAACCCCAGAUCUCUUUCUGCUACUAAAUCCAGUGGUUGGGUCUUUUGUGACCCAACUCAUAUCCUAUGGCUAAUGCCAGGAAAUACCAGACCUCCUUUGUGUUACGUUACAAUGUCUAAUAUGUUGAAAGAAUAUUGUUUUCCAUUAAAUGAAACAAUCUUUCAGCAGCUUCUCAAGUAAGUCAUAUAACCAGUAGUUUUUUGUUUUGCAGUACGGGCUGAGAUGCUCACUUUGCAUUUCAGAAUCAUCACCCAGUUUCUAAGCUACGAGAGUAGGGCUCUUUUAAAUCGUAAUCUAUUGUUGCUCCAAUAUUACUGGUGCCCACUGGCAGAAGACUACUGGUGUCAUGUAACCAUAAAUAUUCAUGUGAAUGAACUCUAAGUUGCUAGUAGUUCCUCUGGCACAUCACAUGACUUUUCAUGGAAGCAGUGUACCUAUUUGCAAAAAAAGCAACGAGUUUUAGCUUUUCAGUGUGUUCUGCCUGUGCCAUUUCUCAGAUUCAAAUAACUGCCUAGAAAUAUUUUCAAAGUUUUUUUAAGAUAUAUUAGGACAUAAUUAUGUUCAUAUCACAUAUUCCUACGUUAUUGAUUGGUGUUCUUAAUAUUAUGAGACAGCUGCAGUCUUUUCCAAUAAACUCAUUUUUUAAAGCGUGUUUGUGUGGUCUGUUGCAAAACACCGAGCUUUCACUCCUUUUAUAUGUGUACACAUUCAUCCUUGCUGAAAGCCUUUGAUGUUAAAUAAAGGAUAAGUCUGAC